rnacentral:rRNA from 1 species
CCAGACUCCUACGGGAGGCAGCAGUGGGGAAUAUUGCACAAUGGGGGAAACCCUGAUGCAGCGACGCCGCGUGGGUGAAGGAGCACCUCGGUGCGUAAAGCCCUAUCGGCAGGGAAGAAAAGCGAACAGGUUCGCCUGGACGGUACCUGACUAAGAAGCCCCGGCUAACUACGUGCCAGCAGCCGCGGUAAUACGUAGGGGGCGAGCGUUAUCCGGAUUUACUGGGUGUAAAGGGAGCGUAGACGGCCAUGCAAGCUCGGUGUGAAAGGUGCGGGCACAACCCGCAGACUGCACUGAGAACUGUAUGGCUGGAGUGCCGGAGGGGCAGGCGGAAUUCCUGGUGUAGCGGUGAAAUGCGUAGAUAUCAGGAGGAACACCGGUGGCGAAGGCGGCCUGCUGGACGGCGACUGACGUUGAGGCUCGAAAGCGUGGGGAGCGAACAGGAUUAGAUACCCUAGUA